rnacentral:rRNA from 1 species
UGGGGAAUAUUGGACAAUGGGCGCAAGCCUGAUCCAGCAACGCCGCGUGGAGGACGAAGGCCUUAGGGUCGUAAACUCCUGUCAGUAGGGACGAAAAAGUAGGGUCGAACAGGCCCUGCCAUUGACGGUACCUGCAGAGGAAGCCCCGGCUAACUCCGUGCCAGCAGCCGCGGUAAUACGGAGGGGGCAAGCGUUAUUCGGAUUUACUGGGCGUAAAGGGCGUGUAGGCGGCUUGAUAGGUCAAAGGUGAAAGCCCUCGGCUCAACCGAGGAACUGCCUUUGAAAACCAUCUAGCUCGAGGCCGGGAGGGGUAGCGGAAUUCCUGGUGUAGCGGUGAAAUGCGUAGAUAUCAGGAGGAACACCAGUGGCGAAGGCGGGUCUCUGGGCCGGAACUGACGCUGAGGAGCGAAAGUGUGGGGAGCAAACAGGAUUAGAUACCCUGGUAGUCCACACCGUAAACGAUGAAUGCCAGUCGUCGGGUAGCAUGCUAUUCGGUGACACACCUAACGGAUUAAGCAUUCCGCCUGGGAGUACGGUCGCAAGA